rnacentral:rRNA from 1 species
UAAGGAAUAUUGCACAAUGGGCGAAAGCCUGAUGCAGCAACGCCGCGUGCGCGAAGAAGGCCUUCGGGUCGUAAAGCGCUUUUCUGGUUGAAGAGGAAGGACAGUAAACCAGGAAUAAGUGUCGGCUAACUACGUGCCAGCAGCCGCGGUAAAGCGUAGGACACGAGCGUUAUCCGGAUUUACUGGGCGUAAAGGGCAAGCAGGCGGACUGUUAAGUCAGACGUGAAAGCUCCGGGCUUAACCGGGAGAGUGCGUUUGAGACUGGCAGACUAGAGGGCAGCAGAGGAGCAUGGAAUUCCGGGUGGAGUGGUGAAAUGCGUAGAUAUCCGGAGGAACACCAGAGGCGAAGGCGGUGCUCUGGGCUGAACCUGACGCUGAGAUGCGAAAGCGUGGGGAGCGAACGGGAUUAGAAACCCCGGUAGUCCACGCAGUAAACGAUGUCCACUAGGUGUUGGGGGAUUAACCUUCAGCGCCGCAGCAAACGCGAUAAGUGGACCGCCUGGGGAGUACGGUCGCAAGGCUA